GGACCUUAAUGUAGACCAAUUUGAAAACGGGACCAAAAAUUAAGAAUCUACAUACACAGUUAGAUUCGGCAUAUCAAAGAACCCCAAUUAUUCAAUUUAUGAUGAAAUCAAACUAAGUUCAAUUUUGGACCCUUUAGGCCCCUUAUUCCUAAACUGUUGGGACCAAAACUCCCAAAAUCAAACCAACCUUCCUUUAGUGGUCAUAAACCUUGUGUUAAAAUUUCAUAGAUUUCUUUUUACUUAAACUAAAGUUAUUGUGCGAAAACCAAGAAUAAUGCUUACUUGGGCCCCUUUUGGCCCCUAAUUCCUAAACUGUUCAGACCUCAACUCCCAAAAUCAAUACCAACCUUCUUUUGUGGUCAUAAACCUUGUGUUUAAAUUUCAUUGAUUUCUAUUUACUUAAACUAAAGUUAUUGUGCGAAAACCAAGAAAAUGCUUAUUUGGGCCCUUUUUGGCCCUUAAUUCCUAAAUUUGUUGGGAUCAAAACUCCCAAAAUCAAUCCCAACCUUCCUUUUGUGGUCAUAAAUCUUGUGUUAAAAUUUCAUAGAUUUCUAUUCACUUUUACUAAAGUUAGAGUGCGAAAACUAAAAGUAUUCGGACGAUGACGACGACGCAGACGACGACGACGACGCAGACGACGACGUCAACGUGAUAGCAAUAUACGACGCAAAAUUAAAAUUUUUGCGGUCGUAUAAAAACAAGUGUUUUCUUUUAAGCAAGUUACUCAACCGACAUCAUUAUACACAAAUUGGUUUACAUCUCAUAAAUAAGCAACUGAACAAAAUUAGAGUUUUUCUUUUAAAAGUUAAUUAAUAAUAAAACCAUUUGUACUAGAAAUAAACUGUGGAUUUGUAGAAUAUCAAUUGCAUGAUCAAUU
rnacentral:lncRNA from 1 species